CCCGUGACCUGUGAGGACACCCGGCAUGCUUCGCAAAACACUUACACGUGAUUCUGAUACUCUACUAUUCAUAUUCAGAAAAUGCAAUAAGAAGAAACUAGGCUGUAUCUUCGACACUUUGGAAAUAUUCUUCAACUAAAUAUCCAAGUUCCUUAUUUACAAGCUCUCCUUUCCACAUGAUCUUAGGACACAGUUCAGCUGGCUUUUGGUCACUGUGUAAGAAGGAUCUCCUUUCCUUCGUGUUUCAAUAGUAUGUUCCCCAUUCCCUUCUGAGUUCUCACCAGCAAUGCCUCUAACAUCCAUAUUUCUACCCACCUUCCAUUUAUGAUGUCUUUACUCUUAUGACUUUAUGUCUUUACUCUUAGAUGAUACAGGCUUUCUCCACUAUGUACCUUACUUCCCCCUGAGCCCUCCCUGGCAGAGUCU
rnacentral:lncRNA from 1 species